UACAGAGGAUGCAAGCGUUAUCCGGAAUGAUUGGGCGUAAAGCGUCUGUAGGUGGCUUUUUAAGUCCGCCGUCAAAUCCCAGGGCUCAACUCUGGACAGGCGGUGGAAACUACCAAGCUGGAGUACGGUAGGGGCAGAGGGAAUUUCCGGUGGAGCGGUGAAAUGCGUAGAUAUCGUGAGGAAGACCAGUGGCGAAGGCAGCUCGCUGGGACGGUACUGACGCUGAGACGCGAAAGCGUGGGGAGCAAACAGG
rnacentral:rRNA from 1 species